rnacentral:lncRNA from 1 species
ACUUCCUUGAUGAACGCGCCGACUACCUGGCCAAGUUUGCGGAGGAUGCGAAUUCCCAGUUUGAUGAGAUCGGACAGAACGCGCUCAAAGAGCUCGACGAAGCCGGUUCUCGGGUCUGUAACUCGAAAUGAAACUGCCCUGCACACUGCACAACUGCUAUUUUGAGUAGAGCAAUUAGAAGAACCACAAACAGCUACUUCAUCAACCUUUACUCGAUAGCUUUCAACUGCAGCUGAAGUGGAAGCUCCAAAUUGGAGAUUUUUACUUUUAAGCUCAUUUCAGCUUCUUGGCACCAAAAAAAAAAAAAAAAGCUUCAUAUUUUUUUGUUUGCCUGAUGUCUGGCUACUACCUAUCGGAGUUAAAAAAGAAAAGAAAAGAAAGAAGACAUGUUCCAAAAGCCAGCCAAACAAAUCCUUGAGUCCCAAAAGAGAGCGAGCCUUUAUAUUGUCUAGAAGAAUUCUUGGUGUAAAUAAUAAUUAGUUCCUCUGUUUUUGAUGUAGCAGAUAAUGGAGAACCUGGAAAGUAGGAUGCAGGCUUUUGAGGAGACGGCCGAAGUUAAUAGACAAGAGAUCGAGAAAAAUGAGAAGGUUUUGGAGGAGUUUGAGGACCAGAUGGAGAGGGACAGAAAUGAAGGGCUGUUCUUCAAGAAUCUGAGAGAGAAGAAGCCGACAGACAAAGCAGCAGCCAAGUUGGAAGCACAGAAGCUAAAAGAAAUUACGAAGGAGAACGCCGGGUCAAAACUUAGGAGGAAUAUAUACCUUGUGCUCAUGUCCUUGCUGGCCGUCGCAAUAGCUGAUGGCCUCUUCAAUACUACUGAAGUCGAGUGGCGGAAAAUCGCAGCACUGGGCUUGAUUUUCGUGGGUUUGCUCGCGCAGCUUAUCUACGAGCAGAGCCUGUCGUCAAAAACCGAGGAAACAGAAGAAAAGAAAUAGCGGAAGGCAGUGAUGGAAGUGGAAUUCCUUGUUCAAUUUGCUGUAAAUGUAAGUACUUUUAAGUAUAGAUUGUAUAGCAUUUUCAGAACAAAAGUUUUAAAAAAUAAAACGACUUCGGAGCAAAGCUGAAUGUUGCUCGGUGAUAUAAACCACAGAAUUCUCACAUCUGGGGCCUGAUACGCACCGAGCUCCCUUUAUUUUUGCAUCAAAAAAUUCCUUGGCGUUAUAUCUUAAGCGCCAAAUCAAUGUAACAUAGUACACACUUUGAUGCUUGGUUGCAAAGGAUUGCUUCUAAUAACACUUAGACCCUAUAGAGCAAAAAUAUAUCUUCUUAACAGUUAAGCGCAAUAAGAAUUCGAAAAAUCAUGUAUUUCUUAUUUCCAGUGUGGUAUCAUUUGGUCAUCGAUAGAAAGGAAAAACUUAUCAUCAUUUGAUAGCAUUAGUCCUUAAUAGGAAGUUGAUAAGCUAGAAUGUUGUGAAUGUAGCAAGAACAUGGAAUAGUUUAAGAAGAGCGCGCAUUUAAUUAGUGGAAAGAAAGAGGAAGAUCACCUCGCAAAGCAUCCAUGUCCUUUCAAGCAUUUCGUCGAACAGUUUAGCGGCAUCGUCCAAUCCCUGGUUUUAAGCGAUUCCGAGAUCAUAGAGCUGUAGGAAACGCGGUCGGGGUCGACAUCGACAUGGUCCCUCGAGCGUAGAAGAAGACGACGACGACGUUGAAGAAGAUCUGUGGCGGAUGCUGCGGGGGCCAAGGGAGAGGGAACGGGGGAAGAGGAAGAUGAAGCGUACGUAGUAAACCCUAAUGCUUGUGGGUGCGCUCCGCAUUGGGUUUCCGUGGGCCGGAUAUGGGCCGCAUCACCUUAUUGUGUUAGUGGUCCCAUUGCGGUCCAAUGCCUUUCCCAGGAUAGGCCCAACUAUAAGGUACGACCGUACGAUGCACUUUAACGAACUGGUGUUUUCGCUUUUGAUAUUAGGAAGAAACAAUCUAAUCUUAUCCUUAUUGGUGAAGUUUAUAGUAUGAUGCACUCUUCUUAUAAUGACAUGAUAUUUGGUCCCAUUUCUUAUCUUGCUAAAUAACGAGCUAAAUAGAGCUUGCAUUAAAUUUCUCCACCGGCAACUUUCUAUAACAUGAACCAAAAUUCCAAAUUAGAACUUCUGCAUACUUGUGACAUUUGGCAAAGCUGAAUAUCGAAUAUUUUAGUAGCUACAACGAAAGCAACAUCAGAAGCGAGACCAAACCUCAUUGUAAGACGAGUGUGCUUGAAGGAAUGCGCUG